UACAGAGCACAGGUACUGGCUAAAUGUGUCCGAUCAUUCAUCAUGAUUUCGCCCUCCACUUUGUCACAGCGUGAGGAUUUAAGGAAGAUAGAUGGUACAAGAUGUUGUCUCCUCCGCAGACGCUUUCUGCUCUGCCUAGGUUGAUCUGAAUGGUGAACCCAGAAGGAAUGCCCCUCAGAGGAAACUUAGAGGCCCAACCCAGGGGAAGCCCAAGCCAGGGUGCUUGAGGCACAGAACCUGGGGUGCAAGGACCUGGAGACCACAGCUGGCCGUUCUCUGAUCCCAAGAUGCUGCUGCCGGGGACGGCCCACCCUGCGCCUUAUCCACGUCUCCCUCCUUCCCCUCCUCGAAGUCUCCGUGGAGUAAUACAGGACAAAGCUCACAAUUUUCCCAUCUGUAAAAUGGGGAGGAGAACAUGACUUCCUCCUGGCAUGUUGUAGGUGUUCUGUCCACCCAGGUGUCCCCUCCCUGCCUCCUCUCUCUCUGGUUCCUAGCCGCUGGAAGUCCCUCAUUUGCCUUUGACCCGUUUCCCAUGGGCCUGGCUGGCUCUGCUGCGGCGUUUCUGUGGCCCCGGGCUUCCCGGCUGGCAUCCAGACAGGGUCUGCCGAUGGGGCAGGCUGCAUGAGAUAGUGGAGGCCUGGCUGCCCCUCCAUGCUCUGCGUCCCUUUGUGAACAGCCCCCUAGGGAAGUGCACCCGUUCUUGAAGCUAACACCCUAGACCUUGCCAAGUCCUCCUCCUGCCAGCCCUGGGAUGAGCCCUGGGACACAGUCUCUACCCGUCAGGAGCUCCCAGUCCGGUGGCGGGGAAGAAAAGUGAGAGGACCAUUACUCCAGCACACGCCACUGCGGGGCCAUGGCCCUGGCCAGGAGUCCCCAGUAGCCCCCAAUUCCAGCCCGACCGAAGCUGGUGCUUUUCACCCAGUGCCUCCCAGGUCCGCAUUGCUACCAGGGGAGGGCUGUGCCGCUCUCACCUCCACGGUGCAGCUGAGAAAACUGCAGAGAAGGCUUGCGCUCGAGACAUCUCUGUGAAUGGGUCGCAGAGCAGGGAUUCAAACACGCGCGAAAUCUCGCCUUUGCGGACGCGGCGGAAGAGCUGAUUGCCUCAUUGGUGGAACAUCCGCGAUGAACACCCUUAUAUCCAAUCAGGGCUCAGCCCCAUCCCGGCUCUGGUCUUUCUCCUGGGACAGCUUCAAGAGGCCUCUUAAACUCCUGCCUCCACCCACCCACCCCCCCACAUUCUGGCCAUGCUUCUAGUCACCACCCAGUUAGUCCCCCCAGAUCUGUGAUUCCGUGAAGUUGCAUGGUUAAGGUAUAUUUGGCUUUUUUUCUCCCUUAGUUUAUCAGUUUUCUUUUACGGCCUGUCUCCCACUCAUUAAUUCAUUCACUCACCAUUUGCUCAUUCGGCAAACACUAAGGACCUGUUAUGUGCUGGCUUUGUGCAGUGAGAUCAAACCCAGCAGGGCCCUCGCCAGACUCCCUGAAGAAGGAGGGCCCACAGGUAUCUUAUGAGACGGUGGAUCUUGGGAAGCCAAGGGAGCGGGGACCUCAGCUGGUCCGCAGAGGAGUGGGGUCGGUGCUACUCAUCACCCAGAGGCCCUCCUGCCUAGAAGCAGCAGCGGGGCCCUUCCCUCCAGCCCCCAAGCACUGCCCUGGAUUGGUCCACAUCCCCUCCCUAGCACUGUGGCCCCGGCCUCCUCUUGCCUCCAGAUUAUCCUUCUUCCUUUUUCUAUCCUGCAGCCAGAACGAUUUUCCUUGAACACAGACCUAAUGAUUUCAUUCUCUGCUUCCAAAAGCUCACUGGCUCUCUAUUGUGCACCGACUUUAAACCUCAACCUUGGAUUUGGCAUUCAAGGCCUUUCAUGAUCCAGCACCAACCCACCCAAUGCCACCACUUACAAGCUGCAUGAUCUUAGCCUGUCCCUUAAAUUCUCUCUCCACCUGCAUUUCCUCACCUGUAACAUGGGGAUAAUUACAGUACCUAUCAUGAUGGAGUGCAUUUUCCAAAGAUGUCAGCUACAAUAUAUAUCCCAUCCCACAAGGUCUUCUUACAAGAGCAUUGCCACUCUUCCCAGGGGAUAGUGGAGACAGUGGUCCCUUGCCCUGAACUUGGGAGGACUUUUGUCACUGCCUUGAUAGAUGUAGCACCAGUGACACUACAAGACUCCCAAGGUUCGGUCUUAAGAAUGCCACGUACUUCAUCGGGUUCUCUUGGGAUGCCCACUGUUGGAUUCCAGUGGCCAUGCUGUGAGGAGGCCGAGCAGCCACAUGGAGAGGCCACAAUAAGUGUCUGGCUCACAGCACCAGCUUGUCAUGUGAGUCACAUGCAUGAGCCAUCCUGAAUGUCGUCUGCCCAGCAAUGCAGAGUGUAGAUAAGCUGACCUUGCCAAGCUCCAGAGCAAAGCAAAUUAUUAUUGAUAUCUUGAGCUACAAAGUGUUGGGGCAGCUUGUUACGCAGCAAGAGAUAACUGAAACAACCACCCCCACGGGGUUGUUGUGGGGUAAGGAAGUAUAUUAGUUUGCUAGGGCUGUCAUCACGAAGAGCAACAGAUUGGGGGUCUUAAACAACAGAAAUGUAUUUUCUCACUCUUCUGAAGGCUAGAAGGCUGAGGUCAAGGUGCCAGCAGGGGUUGGUUCCUUCUGAGGUCUCUCUUCCUGGCUUGUGGAUGGCCGUCUUCUCCUCCUUGUGCUUUUGCCUGUUCUUCUGUCUGUUGAUGUGUGUGUCCUAAUCUCCUCUUCUUAUAAAGUCUCCACUUAUACUGGAUUAGGGUCCACCCUAGUGAUUUCAUUUCAACCUUAUCACCUCUUUAAAGACCUUAUCUCCAGAUGCGAUCACACUCUAAGACACUGGGGGUUAGGACAUCAACAUAUGCAUCUUGCGGGGAUACAAGGCAGUCUGUUACGAUAAGGAAAUGCGUAUGAAAUGCUUAGAGCAGUACCCAGCACAGAGUAAGCACUCAAUAAAUGUCAGCUAGGGUUGUUAUUCUAACUACCACCACUGCCAUCUGCCUGGCCUCGGUCACACUAUUUCCCUCCAGACCCUAAGGGAAUGCUCUGGAUCCCCAGGCCUCCUUUUAGACUGUCUCCUCGGCUUGCAGGGUCUAAACCUGUUCCCCAUCUACCCAGAUCCCUCCUGUGUUAGGAAGCCCAGCUCCUUUACAACCAGGCUGCCAAGUCCCCUUGGUUCCCGUCCCCUGCUUCUGGGGCUCUGUUUAGCGAGUAUUCUGGCCUGCUGUGUAUGAGAAGCUUGGACUUUUUUUGACCUGAGACUUUGUUUUGUUUUUCAAUAUGGAAAUGGGGGAUUUUUUUCUAAUUAUAAAAAUAAUUCGUGUUCAGUUUAUAAAACCCAGACAGUACAGAAGGUUGAUGAAGAAAGUGGAAAUCACCUAGAUUUAAUGACUUUUAGCAUUUUGGUUGCUGUCUUUCUGGAAUUUGUCCUAUGUGUGUACGUAUAUAUAUGUUUUUCUUGAUUCUGGGACAACACUGACUGGGGGAUGCAUCACUGAUUUAAUUACACGGCUCUUUUGGAGAAAAGAACUAUGCAUUAAACAUAUCCAUUAAUUGCAAUGCACAUCCUGAUUUUAGAAAUGUUCAAAUGUUAAAAAAUGUGCAUCUUAGAAUAAAGAAAAUAUAUGCAUGUAUUAUCUAUGUUUUUCAAAAUGGAAAUCUCUAUGAAUACUGUUAUAUGACCUAUUUUUUUAAAAAUCUGAAUAACAAAGUGUAGCCAUCUUUCCACAUCAAUAAAGGAACGCUCUUGCCACCAGUUUUAAUAGAUACAUAAUGUUCCACUGGACUGAUAUAUCAUAAUGCAUUUAUUCCUCACUGAAGGGCAUGAAAUCUUUAUUAUUAGUCUGAUGCAAACACCUUUAUAGACCCUCGUCCUUGUUUUUCUUGGAUAAAUUCCUUAAAUCAGCACUUCCGGCCAGGAGAGUGGAAGUUCUUUGCCCAGAGUUGACUGUCACCAGCUCACAUGCUCCCCAAGGAUAGGACCUGCCGCUGAACCACCUGUGGAUGCACCCGCGCGGGCCCUGUCACUGAGCCGGGUACAAAAUAAGGCUCUGGGAAUGAUUGACAUGUAUCGAUUUUUUAGUAAUAACAAGUCAGGAGACGGAUCCUGCAUGAAUAGUCUGCCGGGAACUGAGAUGUGUGAUUAACUCAAGUUUCUGAACCUCGGAUCAAAAAAUUAAAAAGCACAGUUUUGGGAGUCAGGGUGGUCUCAAAUCCCAGCACUGCUACUCAGUGUGUGAUGUACUGUCCCGAGCCUCAGUUUCCCCAUCUCUACAAGAUCAUGAACGUCCUUG
rnacentral:lncRNA from 1 species